CAGCGCCAUCUGGCGGGCGCGCCCCGCGCUGCAGGCGUAGAGGCGUCCGUGCGGCUCCGCCGCGUCUCCUCCCGCCUGGCUGGGGGCUCGAGCUCGCCUCUCCGGCCUCUCUCCCCGGCCCUUGAAGCCUCCGCCGGGCCCCGGAGAGGAGGACACGGAGCGGAGCAGGGGCAGGGGCUCCAGCCCUUCCCGGCCCCGGCGGCGCUGCUUCAGGACUCCCCCGGAAAGCGACGCUCGAGGCUCCGGAACGCCCAGGGCACACCCCUCGGCAGGGCGACCGCCCCCGGGGCCGCUGCGGCCACUCGGGGCGCGUCACCGUCGGGCCCUUCGGGGGCUUUCUCAGUCCCAGCCUGUGACCUCGUUACCCCACCGCCAGGUCCGGGCCGUCUCAGCCUCCGUCCCCAGCUCCCGGCCUCUGCCUUUCGGAAAGGGGCAGGUCGCCGGGCCGCGGGGAGCGCGAAGGCCCGGCAGGCGUCGCCAGCACGGGCUGUGGCCCCCGCAGCCUGGAGCCCGCUGUCCGGCGUCCCGGCCCUUCUCUGGACUCCGUCUUCGCUCUUUCUGGCUGUGCUUCUGGGGCCCGUAGUUGGGCAGAACGGGGUCCGGGUUUUCCUGGAUCGGGGGAUCUGCUUGGAUGCUCCCAGGGACAGGCAGUUCGCUCUCUAUCAGGGCUGACCCCGCUGCCCGAGGAGCCCCUGGAGCUUCCAAGCUGCUGGCAGUGUGUGAGAGCACAAGAGCCCACUGCAGACUGGGGACCCCCAGGGAGGGAACCCCGCUCAUCAGAGUCCACCAGGAAUGCUUCUCUGCCUACUGGCUGCCCUGGCACCUGGAACCCACCAUUCCUACGUUGAAGCGCCAACCCCGGUGUGGUGUGCUUGAAGGUGGGGCCGUCGGCAGGUGAUCGGGUCAGAUGAGGUCAUGAGGGUGGGCCCCCACGAAGGCGUUUGUGCCCCGGUAAGAUCGGACGGCAGAGCUCCCCGCACCACCAGAUUUUCCUGUUCUCUCGCCUCUUCACCUGCCUGCCCAGCCCGCUCACGUUCCCUUUCCUGUCGGGUCAGAAAGCCGGAAGGCGGGGGCCGGUGGGACGGCAGCAGGGGCCAGGCCCUGGAAGGAGGCGGGAUCGCUGACCCCACCUUGUACGGGGUCUUUGCCAGCAGACUGCGACCUCCCGGGGCUGCCACGUGAAUGGACACCAGUGCUGGAUGAAUCUCAUAUUUGGGGCAGAAUUAAUUUAAAAAAUAAAGAUGGUGGGUUAAUUACAAAACCACA